rnacentral:tRNA from 1 species
GGAGGGCUAGCCUAAUCGGUAAGGCAGCGGUCUUGAAAACCGCGGGGCGAAAGCCCGUGGGGGUUCGAGUCCCUCGCCCUCCG